rnacentral:rRNA from 1 species
GAUCUUGAAUCCUUAGUGGCGCAGCUAACGCACUAAGUUGACCGCCUGGGAGUACGGCCGCAAGGUUAAAACUCAAAUGAAUUGACGGGGGCCCGCACAAGCGGUGGAGCAUGUGGUUUAAUUCGACGCAACGCGAAGAACCUUACCUGGCCUUGACAUGCAGAGAACUUUCCAGAGAUGGAUUGGUGCCUUCGGGAACUCUGACACAGGUGCUGCAUGGCCGUCGUCAGCUCGUGUCGUGAGAUGUUGGGUUAAGUCCCGUAACGAGCGCAACCCCUAUCCCUAGUUGCUAGCAGUUCGGCUGAGAACUCUAGGGAGACUGCCGGUGACAAACCGGAGGAAGGUGGGGAUGACGUCAGGUCAUCAUGGCCCUUACGGCCAGGGCUACACACGUGCUACAAUGGCGCGCACAGAGGGCUGCAAACCCGCGAGGGGGAGCCAAUCUCACAAAACGCGUCGUAGUCCGGACCGGAGUCUGCAACUCGACUCCGUGAAGUCGGAAUCGCUAGUAAUCGUGAAUCAGAAUGUCACGGUGAAUACGUUCCCGGGCCUUGUACACACCGCCCGUCACACCAUGGGAGUGGAUUGCACCAGAAGUAGUUAGUCUAACCUUCGGGAGGACGAUUACCACGGUGUGGUUCAUGACUGGGGUGAAGUCGUAACAAGGUA